CUCUGCCUGUUCUCUACUUUCAAGCUUUCUGGAUGGGGCAGGGAUCCCCAGCAAACUGCAGAGCAGGGCAGAACCCUCUGCCUUUUUUCCCGAGAUCGGACAGAACAGAUCUGUCGAUCCCGGAAACAGGACGGGACCUAGGGUGGGUCUGGUGUGCCAUAAACUUGACCUGUGUUUGUGGAGUCAGGUAUCCUGACACAUCCUUAAAGCACAGACUCAAAUGGCGUACAAUUCUAUGCCUGCAAAUACAGCACUUGCACUGACAUGUCUCACUGCUUCGGUACGUCGUGAAAUAGAAGCGAAAUGAAAGGCAGCCUUGAGCGCCCGCUCCCUAAGCUCUGCUCCGCUCCGCUUUUAGGAGCGCACGAUGGGUUUGGAGUCCGGAGCUUUGCGGGAGCCCUGAGACGGGAGUGGAAGAGGGAAAGGGCUCUCCCUCCUCCGUACCCACAGAAGAGCUGCGUGCCUACAGUCCUUCCGGCAGCCCCGAUGGCAGCGCUGCAGGGAAGAGUCCUGAGCCAGCACCCGCCUCUGGUUGAUACAGAUGAACG